rnacentral:misc_RNA from 1 species
GAUGAAGAACGCAGCGAAAUGCGAUAAGUAAUGUGAAUUGCAGAAUUCAGUGAAUCAUCGAAUCUUUGAACGCACAUUGCGCCCGCCAGUAUUCUGGCGGGCAUGCCUGUUCGAGCGUCAUUUCAACCAUCAAGCCCCCGGGCUUGUGUUGGGGACCUGCGGCUGCCGCAGGCCCUGAAAAGCAGUGGCGGGCUCGCUGUCACACCGAGCGUAGUAGAUUUUAUCUCGCUCAGGGCGUGCUGCGGGUUCCGGCCGUGAAACCCCCUACUUUUAAAGGUUGACCUCGGAUCAGGUAGGAAUACCCGCUGAACUUAAGCAUAUCAAUAAGCGGAGGA